rnacentral:rRNA from 1 species
UACGUAGGUGACCAGCGUUGUCCGGAUUUACUGGGCGUAAAGAGCGCGCAGGCGGUCGUUCAAGUCGAGUGUGAAAGCCCCCGGCUCAACUGGGGAGGGUCACUUGAUACUGAUCGACUCGAAGGCAGGAGAGGGAAGCGGAAUUCCCGGUGUAGUGGUGAAAUGCGUAGAUAUCGGGAGGAACACCAGUGGCGAAGGCGGCUUCCUGGCCUGUUCUUGACGCUGAGGCGGCGGAAAGCUAGGGAGCAAACGGG